rnacentral:rRNA from 1 species
UACGAAGGGGGCUAGCGUUGCUCGGAAUCACUGGGCGUAAAGCGCACGUAGGCGGACUCUUAAGUCGGUGGUGAAAUCCUGGAGCUCAACUCCAGAACUGCCUUCGAUACUGGGCGUCUCGAGUCCGGGAGAGGUGAGUGGAACUGCGAGUGUAGAGGUGAAAUUCGUAGAUAUUCGCAAGAACACCAGUGGCGAAGGCGGCUCACUGGCCCGGUACUGACGCUGAGGUGCGAAAGCGUGGGGAGCAAACAGG